GACACAGGCGGCAUUCUGCGGGCAAAGGUUAAAACUCCUGCGUUGGGUGUAUUCGUUUAAAUUACGUUUCUACAGAUAAACUGCUUAUUCAUGUCAACGACUCAAUGCUAUGGCCCCAAAAUCCCGGGAAAUUUGCUCCCUCCCACUCGCGCAUGUGAAGCCAUGAGCGCCAACGACAGACCGGACUUUCAAAA